CAUGGGCCAAAUUGACCAUAGAAUUGAUUAAGCACCAGGUAAUUAACCUAUUAACAAGUGAUUCAGCAGGAGGGAAGAGCUAGGAGGAAAGGCUGGAGAAGCCUGGGAUCUCACAGAGGGGAAAUCUCCCAAGCAUCUGGGGAAAAGAUGUAAUCAUAUAUCUGAGUUUGAAAAUACCUGAAUCUUUCUGAUGUCUCCUUUUCACAAGACAAGCAGUAUACACAGAAUCCGAGGGAUAAUCUGAAGCUCUAAGGGCUAUUGAAGUCAAUAGAGUUAUGCAGAUUUAUACCAGCUGAAUAUCUAACUUUAUGUCUGUUAUACUAUCUCAGGUGAAGUCCUGACCCUGUUGAAGUCAAUGGGCAAAAUUCCCACUGUCUUCAGCUGUCAGAAUUUCACCCCAGAUUUCUUCUUGAAAUCAGAAUGAUUAGCUAUUGUAGUGCUGCAUAGCCACAUGUUAGCACUAAUUUAU